UACGUAGGCAGCAAGCGUUGUUCGGAGUUACUGGGCGUAAAGGGUGCGUAGGCGGUCCUAUAAGUAUGGUGUGAAAUCUCCCGGCUUAACUGGGAGGGUGCGCUAUAGACUGUGGGACUGGAGUGUGGCAGAGGGGGGUGGAAUUCCGCGUGUAGCAGUGAAAUGCGUAGAGAUGCGGAGGAACACCGAUGGACGAAGGCAGCCCCCCUGGGCUAACACUGACGCUCGAGGCACGAAAGCGUGGGGAGCAAACAGG
rnacentral:rRNA from 1 species